rnacentral:rRNA from 1 species
GAUGAACGCUGGCGGCGUGCCUAAUACAUGCAAGUCGAGAGAACAGACGAGGAGCUUGCUCCUCUGACGUUAGCGGCGGACGGGUGAGUAACACGUGGAUAACCUACCUAUAAGACUGGGAUAACUUCGGGAAACCGGAGCUAAUACCGGAUAAUACAUUGAACCGCAUGGUUCAAUAGUGAAAGACGGUUUUGCUGUCACUUAUAGAUGGAUCCGCGCCGCAUUAGCUAGUUGGUAAGGUAACGGCUUACCAAGGCAACGAUGCGUAGCCGACCUGAGAGGGUGAUCGGCCACACUGGAACUGAGACACGGUCCAGACUCCUACGGGAGGCAGCAGUAGGGAAUCUUCCGCAAUGGGUGAAAGCCUGACGGAGCAACGCCGCGUGAGUGAUGAAGGUCUUCGGAUCGUAAAACUCUGUUAUUAGGGAAGAACAAAUGUGUAAGUAACUAUGCACGUCUUGACGGUACCUAAUCAGAAAGCCACGGCUAACUACGUG